UUACGGCCACAACACGUUUAAGCAUUGGUUCCCAUACGAUAUCCGGAGUUAAGCAAAGUCGAGCCUGGUUAGUACCUAGAUGAUUGAUCAUUUGGGAAUACCAGGUGCU